rnacentral:piRNA from 1 species
UGCCUUGCGUGUAAGCGGUCCUGGGUUC